UCAAACCAAAAUGAUGAACCCACAUACGCCACCAUCCCCGACCUGCCACAGACUGGAACCCUGCCCGACUCGACAUAUUCCUUGAUUGGUUCCACUUUUCACGCUGGCAGUAAUAAAGGUUUAUUGAAGCAGGACGACCCCACAUACGCCACCAUCACCCACCUGCCAAACAACACAGACAUGAACGGUAACACCUCUGCUGGCACAAACUCUCAAAGCAGUUUAUAAACUGUAUUCAUUCAUA